rnacentral:rRNA from 1 species
AGUGAACGCUGGCGGUAGGCCUAACACAUGCAAGUCGAACGGCAGCACAGUAAGAGCUUGCUCUUACGGGUGGCGAGUGGCGGACGGGUGAGGAAUACAUCGGAAUCUACUUUUUCGUGGGGGAUAACGUAGGGAAACUUACGCUAAUACCGCAUACGACCUACGGGUGAAAGCAGGGGAUCUUCGGACCUUGCGCGAUUGAAUGAGCCGAUGUCGGAUUAGCUAGUUGGCGGGGUAAAGGCCCACCAAGGCGACGAUCCGUAGCUGGUCUGAGAGGAUGGUCAGCCACACUGGAACUGAGACAGGUGCCGGACUCCUACGGGAGGCAGCAGUGGGGAAUAUUGGACAAUGGGCGCAAGCCUUAUCCAGCCAUACCGCGUGGGUGAAGAAGGCCUUCGGGUUGUAAAGCCCUUUUGUUGGGAAAGAAAAGCAGCAGGUUAAUACCCCGCUGUUCUGACGGUACCCAAAGAAUAAGCACCGGCUAACUUCGUG